GAGUUUGAUCAUGGCUCAGAUUGAACGCUGGCGGCAUGCCUUACACAUGCAAGUCGAACGGCAGCACGGGAGCUUGCUCCUGGUGGCGAGUGGCGGACGGGUGAGUAAUGCAUCGGAACGUAUCCUGGAGUGGGGGAUAACGUAGCGAAAGUUACGCUAAUACCGCAUAUUCUGUGAGCAGGAAAGCGGGGGACCUUCGGGCCUCGCGCUCUUGGAGCGGCCGAUGUCGGAUUAGCUAGUUGGUGAGGUAAAGGCUCACCAAGGCGACGAUCCGUAGCAGGUCUGAGAGGAUGAUCUGCCACACUGGAACUGAGACACGGUCCAGACUCCUACGGGAGGCAGCAGUGGGGAAUUUUGGACAAUGGGGGCAACCCUGAUCCAGCCAUGCCGCGUGAGUGAAGAAGGCC
rnacentral:rRNA from 1 species